AUACUAAGACGGAAAGCUCCAAGUCCUCCACUCAUCUCUGGCAAAGCCAGGUCCACAGGAUGAAUGGAAGAGGCUGCCUCCAGUUUGCUAGUUUCCCUUACCCAGUGGCUCCCAGAAGAUACACAGUCUGGGUGGAGACUCUGGCUAAAGGGGCAUAGGAACACAGCCAUAAGAAAAUGUCAGGAGACAUCACAAAAGGAUGGCCAACCCUGUCCGCUUAUUUUCCCACUGGUCUAUUUCUGGGCAUUUUUGCAGACUCUGCAGUUGAAUAAAAUGCUGAAGUCUGAUGGCCGAUUUGUUGAUACAUGCAACAGAUACGAGAUAAGGUCCCCUAGCCGAACAACUCUCCUUAUCAAAUGGACCAGGUGCAAUUCCUGCUUAUCCUGGAAUAGCAGUUUCAAUUUCUUGCUGGCCUACUGGACUAUUCAAACAAGCCAAUUGCAUCCACCUUCAGGAACCAGGGGCACCCUGCCCUACUGAUACUACAAAGUCUGCUUUGCACAGCCUUUUCUUCUAAACUCUGUUCCCAAGUGCUAUCCCUAUGUGGCCCUAUGUGGUGUGUGGUAUCUUCCUCCCCUGAGCUGUGAGUAUAUGUGACUAAUAAAUUGCUGUCAACUUCA